rnacentral:rRNA from 1 species
GUGGGGAAUCUUAGACAAUGGGGGAAACCCUGAUCUAGCCAUGCCGCGUGAGCGAUGAAGGCCUUAGGGUUGUAAAGCUCUUUCAGCUGGGAAGAUAAUGACGGUACCAGCAGAAGAAGCCCCGGCUAACUCCGUGCCAGCAGCCGCGGUAAUACGGAGGGGGCUAGCGUUGUUCGGAAUUACUGGGCGUAAAGCGCACGUAGGCGGACCAGAAAGUUGGGGGUGAAAUCCCGGGGCUCAACCUCGGAACUGCCUUCAAAACUCCUGGUCUUGAGUUCGAGAGAGGUGAGUGGAAUUCCGAGUGUAGAGGUGAAAUUCGUAGAUAUUCGGAGGAACACCAGUGGCGAAGGCGGCUCACUGGCUCGAUACUGACGCUGAGGUGCGAAAGCGUGGGGAGCAAACAGGAUUAGAAACCCCGGUAGUCC